GAUGAACGCUGGCGGCGUGCCUAAUACAUGCAAGUCGAGCGAACAGAUGAGGAGCUUGCUCCUCUGACGUUAGCGGCGGACGGGUGAGUAACACGUGGAUAACCUACCUAUAAGACUGGGAUAACUUCGGGAAACCGGAGCUAAUACCGGAUAAUAUAUUGAACCGCAUGGUUCAAUAGUGAAAGACGGUUUUGCUGUCACUUAUAGAUGGAUCCGCGCCGCAUUAGCUAGUUGGUAAGGUAACGGCUUACCAAGGCAACGAUGCGUAGCCGACCUGAGAGGGUGAUCGGCCACACUGGAACUGAGACACGGUCCAGACUCCUACGGGAGGCAGCAGUAGGGAAUCUUCCGCAAUGGGCGAAAGCCUGACGGAGCAACGCCGCGUGAGUGAUGAAGGUCUUCGGAUCGUAAAACUCUGUUAUUAGGGAAGAACAAAUGUGUAAGUAACUAUGAACAUCUUGACGGUACCUAAUCAGAAAGCCACGGCUAACUACGUG
rnacentral:rRNA from 1 species